rnacentral:rRNA from 1 species
UACGUAGGGCGCAAGCGUUGUCCGGAAUUAUUGGGCGUAAAGAGCGUGUAGGCGGCCAGGUAGGUCUGCUGUGAAAACUCGAGGCUCAACCUCGAGACGUCGGCGGAAACCAUCUGGCUAGAGUCCGGAAGAGGAGAGUGGAAUUCCUGGUGUAGCGGUGAAAUGCGCAGAUAUCAGGAAGAACACCCGUGGCGAAGGCGGCUCUCUGGGACGGUACUGACGCUGCGACGCGAAAGCGUGGGGAGCAAACAGG